rnacentral:rRNA from 1 species
UCGUAGUGACCUGCGGAGGACAUUAUUGAAAUAUUUAUUGGUUGUAGCUGGUCUUCGCAAGAUGACAUGUGCACACCUAUAAUCCAAAUAUCACACCCUGUGCACCUUUGGUAGACUUUAUGUCUAUGUUUUUAUUAUUAUACACACCAUAAAAGUUUAGAAUGUUUGAAAAUUAUAAUAAUUAUAAUACAACUUUCAACAAUGGAUCUCUUGGCUCUCGCAUCGAUGAAGAACGCAGCGAAACGCGAUAAGUAAUGUGAAUUGCAGAAUUCAGUGAAUCAUCGAAUCUUUGAACGCACCUUGCGCUCCUUGGUAUUCCGAGGAGCAUGCCUGUUUGAGUGUCAUUAAAUUAAUCAAUCACUUUUUUCUUUGAAAAAGGAGAUUUGGAUUUGGAGCGUUGCUGGCUUGUCAGCUCCUCUUAAAUGCAUUAGCGUGUACACUUUGUGGAUAGGCUUUGGUUUGAUAAAAUAUCUAUGCCAUUGCUGUGAAGCAAAAAAGUCAGCUCACUAAUUAAUGAUUAUUAUCAUCAACUCUGACCUCAAAUCA